rnacentral:rRNA from 1 species
UGGAUUAGGCAUGCAAGUCGAACGAGGGAGUGUUCCGAAAGGGGCACAAACCGAGUGGCGUAAGGGUGAGUAAUGCAUUGAUAACCUGCCUUUGAGAUGGGGAUAACAACGUUCCGAGUAAUCGGGAUUACCGAAAGGGUUGCUAAUACCCAAUAAUAUUCCUGGUGCUGAGGUGUUGGGAAUCAAAGGUUUGGAGCCGAGAGGUUCCUUUCGCUCAGAGAGGGGUCAAUGUCCUAUCAGCUAGUUGGUAGGGUAAAGGCCUACCAAGGCGAAGACGGGUAGCCGGCCUGAGAGGGUGGUCGGCCACAUUGGGACUGAGACACUGCCCAGACUCCUACGGGAGGCUGCAGUCGAGAAUCUUUCGCAAUGCCCGCAAGGGUGACGAAGCGACGCCGCGUGUGGGAAGAAGGCCUUCGGGUUGUAAACCACUGUCGGGAGUUAAGAAAGGCGGGAGAGUGAAUAGCUUUCCUGUUUUGACGGAAGCUCCGGAGGAAGCCACGGCUAACUCUGUGCCAGCAGCCGCGGUAAUACAGAGGUGGCAAGCGUUGUUCGGAAUUAUUGGGCGUAAAGGGCACGUAGGCGGCCCUGCAAGUCAGUUGUGAAAUCCUUCCGCUUAACGGAAGAACGGCAGGUGAUACUACAGGGCUAGAGUGCGGUAGGGGAGAGCGGAACUUCUGGUGGAGCGGUGAAAUGCGUAGAUAUCAGAAGGAACACCGGCGGCGAAAGCGGCUCUCUGGUCCGUAACUGACGCUGAGGUGCGAAAGCUAGGGGAGCAAACGGGAUUAGAUACCCCGGUAGUCCUAGCCGUAAACGAUGGGCACUAAGUAGAGGGGUUUU